CUGUUAAUAACUCCAGCAGAUGUUUCAGCUUUUUAGGCCAAUAGACUCCCUCUCUCCCUGCCCUCCCCUUUCCAGAAUCCGAUGCCAAUAUGACUGAACUCCAGUUUUUGUGGUUGUCGUCACCACUGCCGCUGCUGCUAGGGCUGGUGAUACAAUGCCGCUGAGGAAUGAUCCUUUAAACAACCACUGGCAACAGAACCUCAGCCCUUUAAGCAGAGCAGUGCUCAAGGAAUGUUUACAGCUAAGGAGGCUCCAUGGAGGAUUGCCUAAAGGACAUGAAGUCCAUCCAUCUCUCCAGAUAGUUUAGAUUAUAUCUCAAGAUCAAGAGAGUUAUCCAUGUUACAGAUGUGGAAGCUGAGAUUCAAAGAUGACACAGGUGGCAAUGCUGGCCAUCAAGCUAAAGCAUCAUACCAUGCUGGCCUCUUCCUGAAAGUAAGUCUUGCCUGAAUUAGCAUAAAAAGUGACUCAAGGUCACUUUUGAGUAUGGAAAGUGACUCAAGGUGAAGGGAGGAUGUAUCAUUUCCUUCUGUCUUUUGUCACCGUUGUUGUCGUUGAGAUGGCAGCUACUGCCCAUCAUAUUUGCUAAAGGGGAAAAGUGAUUACCAAACUUCUCCUGGUUUUAAGGGUGAAGUUAAGUAACUGGAAUAAAAUAAAAAGAGAGGAAGCAACUAGAAGAAUACAAACUGAGUAUGCAGAGCCAAAAAGGAGUAAUCAGCAGAGGAAUGUUGCUGGGUAAUACGCUUUGAAAAUUCCAUAUCAACACCAUAUACGUUGGCUAAAAUCCAAACAUAUAAUCUAAGCAAGGCCCUCUAAAUUCCUUAUGUUUAACAGAGAACCAGCUGGAGGCCGCCCUAUUCUUUAAGAAAGAGGAGGAAUGAAUAGAUUCCUCAGUCUGAUAGAGCUGAGAAAGCCAUCUCCUAGGCUCUUGCAUCACUUGUGUUAAUAUGCAGGUCCUCAGAACUGCAGCUUUCUCAACUCAGUCCUAUCUUAUGAGCAUUAUCCUGAAAUGUUCUCCUCUGUUCCUCUCUGGGAAUCUGCAGACAGUUCAUGUGGAAGUCUCUCUCCUAGUCUGAAGGAAUUAAAUAGAAUAUUAUAAUUACUCAGAGUUUAAUAUAAGCUACAACUGUUUUUGCUGGCUUGGCGUUUAAAGAUGCAAAUGUUCCAAUCUCCUAGAAACAUGACAUUAUAAAAGGGACUACCGUAAUUAGGAAUAAAACUGUUCAGUCCUCAUUAACCAGAAAAGCAGUUUCUAAACCCAAGGACGCUCUACUUUUGUUCCAAGAAAAGUCAGGAAGAUGGUGCCACAAGAGCCUAAUAAAGAUUUUGGGUCAACUUGUGCUCACUGCAAUUGAUUAGGAUCCAUGCGAAAUGAUUUUUAAAAGGAAAUGAACAAUAAAUACUUCGAACAGAAGAAAACUAAUCAGGGAAAAGCCUGAAGAAUCAUCUUAAGCACACUCUUGUUUAAAGUUUCACUAUCAUUUUAUUCUUGAUUGCCCAAAUUCAUUCAGCCUUAAUGCAUUGUUAAAGAGCUUGUCCUAUUAGCCAAGGAUGUUAUGGUAACUGGUUGUAAGGCUACUGCUCUCCUGGUUACAACACGUGACUAGAAAAAUGCUUUCUUAAUUAAGGCUGAGAGUGAUGAGUCCCUGGUGACUCAAAGUAGUUAAGGAGUGUGUAUAAAACUGAGCACAGGCUAGUCUCGAAGAUGAUGGCAGGCUUUACUUUGGUUCUUUAAUCUCCUCAUCCAUUUUUGUCCUGCCAGAACUGUCUACACUGAUGCCUCGCUGUGGCAUUAGUCACGGUAAGAGCCAUACGUGUUGUAAGCCUGUGCCUUUUUAUACCUGUCGAAGGGGAUUUGGUCACUGAAAUCACAAGUGAACCAUGUUAUAAGGUGUUUAACUGUGAGGCAGUUUCCCACACACAAGGAAGACGGGGACGUUUGGAAGGAAUGUGAUUUGUUUAUGUUUUCUCAUAGGUACUUCUGACGUGUCUGCUUCUGAGAAAAGCAACGUCCAUAGAUUUCAGAUAGACAGCGCAUUAUCUAGCCCUCAUUCUUUCUUUUAGCUGAAGUUCUUAUCACCUGUGUUUCAAAACCUAAUUAAGCGAUGGUUCAUUCAUAGCAGAAGGAUACUGGACAGGAACUAGGCUCUAGUCUCUUCUUUGUCACUAACUAUUUCUGUGGAUCUCGGCAAAUUAGCUUUCCAGUAGGACGCUGUUGCUUUGUCUUGUAAUAUUAACAGCUCUACUUAUUAAACACUUUCUCUGCAGUAGGGGCUUUAAUAAGCACUUUAACUAGAUUGUUUCAU
ensembl:lncRNA